rnacentral:rRNA from 1 species
GUAGGUGGCAAGCGUUGUCCGGAUUUACUGGGUGUAAAGGGCGUGCAGCCGGGCAUGCAAGUCAGAUGUGAAAUCUCAGGGCUUAACCCUGAAACUGCAUUUGAAACUGUAUGUCUUGAGUGCCGGAGAGGUAAUCGGAAUUCCUUGUGUAGCGGUGAAAUGCGUAGAUAUAAGGAAGAACACCAGUGGCGAAGGCGGAUUACUGGACGGUAACUGACGGUGAGGCGCGAAAGCGUGGGGAGCGAACAGGAUUAGAUACCCUGGUAGUCCACGCUGUAAACGAUGGAUACUAGGUGUGCGGGGACUGACCCCCUGCGUGCCGCAGUUAACACAAUAAGUAUCCCACCUGGGGAGU